UCCSGGUUGAUCCUGCCAGAGGUUACUGCUAUCGAGGUUCGACUAAGCCAUGCGAGUCGAAUGUAGCAAUACAUGGCGAACUGCUCAGUAACACGUGGACAACCUGCCCUUAGGUUGGGUAUAAACCCGGGAAACUGGGUAUAAUACCCGAUAGGUCUCGAUUGCUGGAAUGCAUCGAGAUUUAAAGCUCCGGCGCCUAAGGAUGGGUCUGCGGCCUAUCAGGUAGUAGUGGGUGUAGCGUACCUACUAGCCUACGACGGGUACGGGUUGUGAGAGCAAGAGCCCGGAGAUGGAUUCUGAGACACGAAUCCAGGCCCUACGGGGUGCAGCAGGCGCGAAAACUUUACAAUGCUGGCAACAGCGAUAAGGGAACCUCGAGUGCCAGGUUACAAAUCUGGCUGUCGAGAUGCCUAAAAAGCAUUUCAUAGCAAGGGCCGGGCAAGACCGGUGCCAGCCGCCGCGGUAACACCGGCGGCUCGAGUGGUAACCGUUAUUAUUGGGUCUAAAGGGUCUGUAGCCGGCCGGAUAAGUCUCUUGAGAAAUCUGGCAGCUUAACUGUCAGGCUUUCAGGAGAUACUGUCUGGCUCGAGGCCGGGAGAGGUGAGAGGUACUUCAGGGGUAGGGGUGAAAUCUUGUGAUCCUCGGGGGACCACCAGUGGCGAAGGCGUCUCACCAGAACGGGUCCGACGGUAAGGGACGAAAGCUAGGGGCACGAACCGGAUUAGAUACCCGGGUAGUCCUAGCCGUAAACGAUGCUCGCUAGGUGUCAGUCACGGUGCGACCGUGAUUGGUGCCGUAGGGAAGCCGUGAAGCGAGCCACCUGGGAAGUAUGGCCGCAAGGCUGAAACUUAAAGGAAUUGGCGGGGGAGCACUACAACGGGUGGAGCCUGCGGUUUAAUUGGAUUCAACGCCGGG
rnacentral:rRNA from 1 species